rnacentral:rRNA from 1 species
UAAUCAUUCGUCUAUUAAUUGUAGACCAGCAUGAAAGGCAACAUGAGGGCCUAACUGUCUCUUGUAGUAAAUCAAUUAAACUGAUCUUCUAGUAAAAAAGCUAGAAUCUCCCCAUAAGACCAGAAGACCCUGUGAAGCUUAAACUAAACUAUUAAAACAUAUAAUAACUACUUUCGGUUGGGGCGACCCUGGAAAAAAAAAGAACUUCCAACAACAUACCAAACCACACAGGCCCACAAGCCACAACACCAACGACCCAGCAUAGCUGAUCAUUGAACCAAGUUACUCCAGGGAUAACAGCGCUAUCUUCUUUAAGAGCCCAUAUCAAAAAGAAGGUUUACGACCUCGAUGUUGGAUCAGGACAUCCUAAUGGCGCAGCCACUAUUAAGGGUU